AAAUUUGGAGCAGCACAGUGAUAGUCUGCCUCCUCACUGAUUGUUGGAGUGGAGUUGGCUGAUCUGGCUGGCUAGGUGAAUUUUUCAUCUUUCUGCAAACCUCACAAAGCUGCACACUGAGACAAGGAGUACCAUGCUCUGUGUCAGGCACAGUAGUGUUUUCUUCUAGAUCCUCCAAACAAGAUUAAAGUUCAUUUGGGCAAUACAGCAGCCAAGCUGUGUUGAGACAUGUCCAAAUGAAGGUCUGUAUAUUGCAACUUGCCUUUCAUU
rnacentral:snRNA from 1 species